CCUACGGGGGGCAGCAGUGGGGAAUAUUGGACAAUGGGCGAAAGCCUGAUCCAGCCAUGCCGCGUGUGUGAAGAAGGCCUUCGGGUUGUAAAGCACUUUCAGUGGGGAAGAAAGCCUUGGGGCCAAUACCCUCGAGGAAGGACAUCACCCACAGAAGAAGCACCGGCUAACUCCGUGCCAGCAGCCGCGGUAAUACGGAGGGUGCGAGCGUUAAUCGGAAUUACUGGGCGUAAAGCGCGCGUAGGCGGUCUGAUAAGCCGGUUGUGAAAGCCCCGGGCUCAACCUGGGAACGGCAUCCGGAACUGGCAGGCUAGAGUGCAGGAGAGGAAGGUAGAAUUCCCGGUGUAGCGGUGAAAUGCGUAGAGAUCGGGAGGAAAACCAGUGGCGAAGGCGGCCUUCUGGACUGACACUGACGCUGAGGUGCGAAAGCGUGGGUAGCAAACAGGAUUAGAUACCCGAGUAGUC
rnacentral:rRNA from 1 species